CUCGUAGGCGGCCAACUAAGUCGGACGUGAAAUCCCUCGGCUUAACCGGGGAACUGCGUCCGAUACUGGAUGGCUUGAGAUUGGGAGAGGGAUGCGGAAUUCCAGGUGUAGCGGUGAAAUGCGUAGAUAUCUGGAGGAACACCGGUGGCGAAGGCGGCAUCCUGGACCAACACUGACGCUGAUGAGCGAAAGCCAGGGGAGCAAACG
rnacentral:rRNA from 1 species